rnacentral:tRNA from 1 species
GGCGGCAUAGCUCAGAUGGUUAGAGCAUCGGAAUCAUAAUCCGAGUGUCCGGGGUUCAAGUCCCUGUGCCGCUACCA